AAACAAAAACAUUGAUUUCUCCCGCCGUACAACAACACUCCAGCAUACACAUCUUCUGAUGGCUGCUUUCAGUAGGAUGAAGUCAACACAAUGAUUUCCCAGAUGUCAAGCAUGAGGACCUUUGAGCAAAGAUUGAUAAAAUGGCCCUGCAUCUGAACACAUGUUAAGUACGGAGGUCAGCUGGAUGCUGUGGGUCUCUCUGCUCUGUUAAAAAGAAGAAUCAGCUUAUUAAAAAGUGAACUCAAGAAGAGGCAUUCAUGCUCCACCCCCCACUGCACACCAACAUUUCACUAAACUAAUUAGCAACUUGGGCCAGAAGUCGGUGUCAAUGAGGGGAAACAACAUAUUUCACCCCGUCAGCUUCUAGCAGUGGCCUCGGCUGACCUUUUGAUACUCCAUUAAAGCGUACACCCAAAGGUGUCAAAGUGAGGCGUUUUCCAGCCUCCCUGUGACAACAUCUGCAGCCGCUUGUUUUCGACUGUGGAACGCACCGCUCCGACGGCUUUCAUCUUGCCAAUUUUAUGAUCACACCUUAGCGCUGAUGAGUACAAUCAUUUGACAUGCAAAUAGCAAUUACUAUAGAUUCACUUCUGCUGACACUCGACAGCUCUCGCUUUUCAUCCUCCUAGU